rnacentral:rRNA from 1 species
UACGAAGGGGGGCUAGCGUUGUUCGGAAUUACUGGGCGUAAAGCGCACGUAGGCGGACUUUUAAGUCAGGGGUGAAAUCCCGGGGCUCAACCUCGGAACUGCCUUUGAUACUGGAAGUCUUGAGUAUGGAAGAGGUAAGUGGAAUUGCGAGUGUAGAGGUGAAAUUCGUAGAUAUUCGCAGGAACACCAGUGGCGAAAGGCGGCUUACUGGUCCAUUACUGACUGCUGAGGUGCGAAAGCGAUGGGGAGCAAACAGGG